rfam:Dialister sp. CAG:486 genomic scaffold, scf421
GGACACGACUCUGGAGAAGCUCGCUGAAAAGAUGCGAGGGCCGAAGGUGUUAAAGGAUUUCACCCGUAGAAAUCCUGAAUCUCUCAGGCAAAAGGACAGGGCUGGCACU